CCCAGGGUGAGGCUCAGCCAUUGCACUCUGUGUUGUGCUGACCCCUGCGAAUUCCCCAAAUGUGGGAAUCUCGACUGCAUAAUUUCUGGUAGUGGGGGACUGCGUUCGCGCUCUCCCCUG
rnacentral:snRNA from 1 species